rnacentral:rRNA from 1 species
UAGGGAAUUGUUCGCAAUGGGCGCAAGCCUGACGACGCAACGCCGCGUGGAGGAUGAAGAUCUUCGGGUCGUAAACUCCUUCCGAUUGGGACGAACUUCUUGGGGGUGAAUAGCCUCUGAGGUUGACGGUACCGAGAGAAGAAGCGCCGGCUAACUACGUGCCAGCAGCCGCGGUAAUACGUAGGGCGCAAGCGUUGUCCGGAAUUAUUGGGCGUAAAGCGCUCGUAGGCGGCUUGUCACGUCGGGUGUGAAAGCCCGGGGCUUAACCCCGGGUCUGCAUUCGAUACGGGCUAGCUAGAGUGUGGUAGGGGAGAUCGGAAUUCCUGGUGUAGCGGUGAAAUGCGCAGAUAUCAGGAGGAACACCGGUGGCGAAGGCGGAUCUCUGGGCCAUUACUGACGCUGAGGAGCGAAAGCGUGGGGAGCGAAC